rnacentral:misc_RNA from 1 species
CGAUCGUUUAUUGAUUUUACCGAAAAGUGAACAUAGGAACGUCGAAGAAGAGGCAUCGGAGUGUUACGCUACGAAUCGUUUGUUGGAAAAAAUGCUCGACUCGAAUCUACGCUGAAACCGGGCUCCGAAACUGCUCUGUAAUCAUCGCGUUAAUUGUAAUUUGUGUAUCAAUUGUAAAAUUACGCGCGGCUUGUGCUCGGUGUGACGCAGUGAACCCUUCCGAACAACGCACGAUUCUAUCGGAUGGAAAAAACCGAAAGACCAAAGAGUCGGGGGUCAUCGAGCGAACGGAGGUGAUCGUUUGAAUCGUUGAAAUUCCUUCUCGGUCGAGUGAGUCAACCCUCGGGAUCGCGGGGUCUCUCGGAGCCCUCCUUUGCCUCCACUGGGCUGUCAGCCAGGGCGUUCCAAACGGCGACAUCGCAUAUCGUAUGUGUACGUCGUAUACCGCGGUGACUAGUUCGACUUCGAUGAUCAGUCGCGUGUCUUCAACUACGCGUACCGCGCAGUGUGGAUUGGUAAGUAUGCCGAGCGAUACACGAUGAUACCGAAAUUCGGAAGCGAGCCGUUGGCUCCGCGCCAUGACGGUGGAAAGGAAGGAG